UCCGAGUCUUGUGAUGUUGUGAGUGCGGU
rnacentral:sRNA from 1 species